rnacentral:rRNA from 1 species
UUGGGUAGGGGAGCGUUCUGUAAGCCUGCGAAGGUGUACUGUGAGGUAUGCUGGAGGUAUCAGAAGUGCGAAUGCUGACAUAAGUAACGAUAAUGCGGGUGAAAAACCCGCACGCCGGAAGACCAAGGGUUCCUGUCCAACGUUAAUCGGGGCAGGGUGAGUCGACCCCUAAGGCGAGGCUGAAAAGCGUAGUCGAUGGGAAACGGGUUAAUAUUCCCGUACUGGUGGUAACUGCGAUGGGGGAACGGAGAAGGCUAGGUUGUCCGGGCGACGGUCGUCCCGGUUCAAGCAGGUAGGCAGAGUGAUUAGGCAAAUCCGGUCACUUAAUGCUGAGAUGUGAUGACGAACCACCAAGGUGGUGAAGCAAUUGAUGCCCCGCUUCCAGGAAAAGCCUCUAAGCUUCAGGUUACCAACAAUCGUACCCCAAACCGACACAGGUGGUCAGGUAGAGAAUACUCAGGCGCUUGAGAGAACUCGGGUGAAGGAACUAGGCAAAAUGGUGCCGUAACUUCGGGAGAAGGCACGCUGGCGGUAGGUAAAGUCCCUCGCGGACGGCGCUGAAGCCAGUCGAAGAUACCAGCUGGCUGCAACUGUUUAUUAAAAACACAGCACUGUGCAAACACGAAAGUGGACGUAUACGGUGUGACGCCUGCCCGGUGCUGGAAGGUUAAUUGAUGGGGUUAGCCGUAAGGCGAAGCUCCUGAUCGAAGCCCCAGUAAACGGCGGCCGUAACUAUAACGGUCCUAAGGUAGCGAAAUUCCUUGUCGGGUAAGUUCCGACCUGCACGAAUGGCGUAAUGAUGGCCAGGCUGUCUCCACCCGAGACUCAGUGAAAUUGAACUCGCUGUGAAGAUGCAGUGUACCCGCGGCAAGACGGAAAGACCCCGUGAACCUUUACUAUAGCUUGACACUGAACAUUGAGCCUUGAUGUGUAGGAUAGGUGGGAGGCUUUGAAGUGUGGACGCCAGUCUGCAUGGAGCCAACCUUGAAAUACCACCCUUUAACGUUUGAUGUUCUAACCUAGGCCCGUGAACCGGGUCGGGGACCGUGUCUGGUGGGUAGUUUGACUGGGGCGGUCUCCUCCUAAAGAGUAACGGAGGAGCACGAAGGUUGGCUAAGCAUGGUCGGACAUCAUGCGGUUAGUGCAAAGGCAUAAGCCAGCUUGACUGCGAGAGUGACGGCUCGAGCAGGUACGAAAGUAGGUCUUAGUGAUCCGGUGGUUCUGAAUGGAAGGGCCAUCGCUCAACGGAUAAAAGGUACUCCGGGGAUAACAGGCUGAUACCGCCCAAGAGUUCAUAUCGACGGCGGUGUUUGGCACCUCGAUGUCGGCUCAUCACAUCCUGGGGCUGAAGUAGGUCCCAAGGGUAUGGCUGUUCGCCAUUUAAAGUGGUACGCGAGCUGGGUUUAGAACGUCGUGAGACAGUUCGGUCCCUAUCUGCCGUGGGCGUUGGAAGAUUGAGAGGGGUUGCUCCUAGUACGAGAGGACCGGAGUGAACGCACCACUGGUGUUCGGGUUGUCAUGCCAAUGGCAUUGCCCGGUAGCUAAGUGCGGAAGAGAUAACCGCUGAAAGCAUCUAAGCGGGAAACUUGCCUCGAGAUGAGUCUUCCCUGU